AUUGAACGCUGGCGGCAGGCCUAACACAUGCAAGUCGAACGGUAACAGGAAGAAGCUUGCUUCUUUGCUGACGAGUGGCGGACGGGUGAGUAAUGUCUGGGAAACUGCCUGAUGGAGGGGAUAACUACUGGGAACGGUAGCUAAUACCGCAUAACGUCGCAAGACCAAAAAGGGGGGCCUUCGGGCCUCUUGCCAUCGGAUGUGCCCAGAUGGGAUUAGCUAGUAGGUGGAGUAACGGCUCACCUAGGCGACGAUCCCUAGCUGGUCUGAGAGGAUGACCAGCCACACUGGAACUGAGACACGGUCCAGACUCCUACGGGAGGCAGCAGUGGGGAAUAUUGCACAAUGGGCGCAAGCCUGAUGCGGCCAUACCGCGUGUAUGAAGAAGGCCUUCGGGUUGUAAAGUACUUUCAGCGGGGAGGAAGGGAGUAAAGUUAAUACCUUUGCUCAUUGACGUUACCCGCAGAAGAAGCACCGGCUAACUCCGUG
rnacentral:rRNA from 1 species